rnacentral:tRNA from 1 species
UGGGGUUGUGGCUCAGUGGUAGAGUACUGGCCUAGCAUGCAUGAGACACUGUGUUCGAUUAUCAGCACCACAA